UUGGCCUUCUGUUGAGGGAUGCUCUUUGGAACUGGAUGUAAAUGGCCUUCAUCCUCCAGAUGUCCGUCAACUCCUGAUCAACUUUGACUUCUUCUUUUGGUUGGUUUUGGUUGACUGAUGCCAUCUUUGCAAACUCCAUUCACUUAUUAAAACCCUGAGAUGCAGUUUUAAUCUCCAGAAAAUUAUGAUGUCAACUGUUGAGACAGCUGCAGCUACCACAGUACAGAAGAGCAGCAUUGGCAGCAAUAAGCCAGAAGCUCCGGCCUAUCUUUUGCAGCAGCAUGUUGGCAAGCAGUUUUUAAUGGAUUGUUU